UAACACUCCCAUACACUUUAAAUCUGGCUGAAGCAGAACUCAGAGAAGGAUGAUUUUCGGACAGUGUAUUUUAAUUGGACUCAUUUCAUAUUCUUAUGGACAGUCCCUGACCUCCUCUGCAUCUGUGGUGAAGAGACCUGGAGAGUCAGUCACUCUGUCCUGUACUGUCUCCGGAUUCUCAGUGGGCAGCUACUACAUGCACUGGAUCCGUCAGAAACCAGGACGAGGACUGGAGUGGAUCGGGCGCAUUUACAGUGACACGAUAUUCGCUCAGUCUCUGCAGGGCCAGUUCUCCAUCACUAAAGACACCAGUAAAAACAUUCUGUACCUCGAAGUGAAGAGUCUGAAAGCCGAAGACACGGCUGUUUAUUACUGUGCACGAGACUCACACUGA